rnacentral:tRNA from 1 species
GGCUGGAUAGCUCAGUUGGUAGAGCACCGGAACUGCAAUUCGGAGGUCGCAGGUUCGAACCCCGCUCCAGUCA